rnacentral:lncRNA from 1 species
UCUCUGAAUUCUCUCCUUCUCUGCUAUUUCUAUACUCUCUCAUUCUCUUGUUUGAACACUCAAUCGGCUGAAAAGCCAAGAUUGAGUAAACUUGGGUUGUUUACUCUUACACUAGUGGAUUCUAUUUCAUUGCUUACUUGGGUUUGCCUGCUGCUCUCUUUGCUGCACACUGCCCUUCUCACACUGUGUUGCACACUGCUAUUCUCUUUGCUGCUCACACUCUCUGCUCACUUUGCUCUCUGUGUGCAUUCUUGAUCUUUGCUCGUUGUGUUAUGUUUGUCUGCAAUCGGUAUGUUAUCUAUUUAGUGUAUAGUCCCCAAAACAAUAUGCUUUUGUUAAUCCUGCACUUCAUCUUGUUCCUUGUGUGCUUUUAUCUGUGGUUCUGCUGUUCUUAUUGUCACUAGUAUGCACUUACUAGCCUACUUAGCUUAGAUUAGCAUGUUUCUCUUACCCCUUCCCUGUCUCAAUGAAUGUUUACUUUUCCUUGUGCCUUACUACCACGUGUCCAGUGCUGCUUGGCUUCUUGAUUAGCCUAAAACCUCUGAUUAGCAUGUUCCCCUUACCCCUUCCCUGUCUCAAUGAAUGUUUACUUUUCCUUGUGCAUUACUACCAUCUGUCCAAGCCUGCUUGGCUACUUGAUCAGCCUAAAACCUCUUCCUGAGGUUAAGUGUAUUGGGGUUUGGUGUAGUAAGAACUGAACCCCUAUGUCUGAUUACCUGCCUUCACUAUGUUUGCCUAUGUGUGAGUAGAUCCCUGUACUUAUCUGUUCCCUUCCCCUUUGCCCCUGUUUGUAUGAUGCUAUGUUCUAAACUGGUUAGUACAAAUGAUUUCAAAAGAACUCCUUUCAACUCUUUCGACUUUCUUAAAAUAUUUUCUCAAACUAUCUCUCAAAUCUUUAUGCUGCUUUCAUAAAUUGACUCUCACAUGUUUUAAACUCUCUCAAUCCUAUCACAACAUCACUACUCAAUAUUUUCUAAAACUAUCUCUGAAAUCUUUCUGCUAUUUUCUUAAAUUGAAUCUCAACUGUUUUAAACUCUCUCAAUCCUAUCACAACUUCACUACUCUUAGAACACUAGGU